rnacentral:rRNA from 1 species
AAUUCCUUGUCGGGUAAGUUCCGACCUGCACGAAUGGCGUAACGACUUCCCCGCUGUCUCCAGCAUAGACUCAGCGAAAUUGAAUUACCUGUCAAGAUGCAGGUUUCCCGCGGUUAGACGGAAAGACCCCGUGCACCUUUACUACAGCUUCAGAGUGGUACUAGGGAAUGACUGUGUAGGAUAGGCGGGAGCCUUUGAAGCGUCGGCGCCAGUUGACGUGGAGGCACCCUUGAAAUACCGCCCUUUUGUUCUCUGGUAUCUAACCGCGAUCCCUGAACCGGGAUCCGGGACCCUCUGUGGUGGGUAGUUUGACUGGGGCGGUCGCCUCCCAAAAGGUAACGGAGGCGCCCAAAGGUUCCCUCAGCCUGGUUGGCAAUCAGGUGUUGAGUGUAAGUGCACAAGGGAGCUUGACUGUGAGACUGACAGGUCGAGCAGGGACGAAAGUCGGGACUAGUGAUCCGGCAGUGGCUUGUGGAAGCGCUGUCGCUCAACGGAUAAAAGGUACCCCGGGGAUAACAGGCUGAUCUUCCCCAAGAGUCCAUAUCGACGGGAUGGUUUGGCACCUCGAUGUCGGCUCGUCACAUCCUGGGGCUGGAGAAGGUCCCAAGGGUUGGGCUGUUCGCCCAUUAAAGUGGCAC